UACGGAGGGUGCAAGCGUUGUUCGGAAUCACUGGGCGUAAAGCGCGUGUAGGCGGCUAUCUAAGUCUGAUGUGAAAGCCCUGGGCUCAACUCAGGAAGUGCAUUGGAUACUGGAUAGCUGGAGUACCAGAGAGGAGGGUGGAAUUCCAGGUGUAGCGGUGAAAUGCGUAGAUAUCUGGAGGAACACCGGUGGCGAAGGCGGCAUCCUGGACCGGCAUUGACGCUGAGGCGCGAAAGCUAGGGGAGCAAACGGG
rnacentral:rRNA from 1 species